rnacentral:rRNA from 1 species
GUAGGAUAAGCUAAGCACACUGUUGGUUAUGUGUGCCCAAGCAUUGAGGCAGUCAAAGUAGGCAAAUCCGCUUUGAUAAUGCUGGGAUGUGAUGGGGAGCGAAAUUUAGUAGCGAAGUAGCUGAUUUCACACUGUCAAGAAAAGUCUCUAUCGAGGUUAAAGGUACCCGUACCGCAAACCGACACAGGUGGGUGAGGAGAGUAUCCUAAGGCCAGCGAGAGAACUGUUGUUAAGGAACUCGGCAAAAUGACCCCGUAACUUAGGGAUAAGGGGUGCCACCAUCAGGUGGCCGCAGAGAAUAGGCCCAAGCGACUGUUUACCAAAAACAUAGGUUUCUGCUAAGUCGCAAGACGAUGUAUAGGAGCUGACGCCUGCCCGGUGCUGGAA